AAAAAAGAUAAAAAAGAGAAAAAGAAAAAAGAAAAAAGGAAAGA
rnacentral:ribozyme from 13 species